rnacentral:rRNA from 1 species
UACAGAGGGUGCAAGCGUUAAUCGGAAUUACUGGGCGUAAAGGGCGCGUAGGUGGAUGUUUAAGUGAGAUGUGAAAUCCCCGGGCUUAACCUGGGAACUGCAUCUUAUACUGGGCAUCUGGAGUGUGGUAGAGGGUAGUGGAAUUUCCGGUGUAGCGGUGAAAUGCGUAGAUAUCGGAAGGAACACCAGUGGCGAAGGCGGCUACCUGGACUAACACUGACACUGAGGCGCGAGAGCGUGGGGAGCAAACAGG